rnacentral:snRNA from 1 species
AAAGGUGACCACAAAACAUCUAACUGCAUGACAUCUACCCACCCCAUUGAUCAUGCCUGGUGAUUCUGCAGAUCUGCCUACUUCAAUGCAUAUCCUUUUUCUCCCUCACCCCUCUGUGUAUAACCCUCCUUAAGCUGCAUGUGAUGUUGAAGGAUAACUUUCUCCAGUAGAGGAGGGCUGGUCUUUAGUUAAAGAUACAUGAGUAGCUGCAUUCCCUGAUAGAACCUACAAAAAAGCACAUAUUAAAAGUAUACAAAGAUGAAAGAUUUAAGUAAUAAAGGACUCUAGGACUAAUGAAAAAUUAGCCUGUAUAUAAAAAACAAAAACUAAAAAAGAAUAUUGCAUAUGGAUAUAUUUACUUA